rnacentral:rRNA from 1 species
AGCGAACGUUAGCGGCGCGCCUAACACAUGCAAGUCGCACGAGAAAGGGCUUCGGCCCCGGUAAAGUGGCGCACGGGUGAGUAACACGUGGGCAACCUGCCCAACCCUGGGGGAUAACCUGCCGAAAGGCGGGCUAAUACCGCGUACGAGGGCUCCACUUCGGUGGGGUUCUGAAGGCAGGCCUCUGUAUACAAGCUUGCGGGGUUGGAUGGGCCCGCGGUCCAUCAGCUAGUUGGUGAGGUAAUGGCUCACCAAGGCUACGACGGAUAGCUGGUCUGAGAGGAUGAUCAGCCACACUGGAACUGAGACACGGUCCAGACUCCUACGGGAGGCAGCAGUGGGGAAUCUUGCGCAAUGGACGAAAGUCUGACGCAGCGACGCCGCGUGGGUGACGAAGGCCUUCGGGUUGUAAAGCCCUGUGGGGCGAGACGAACAGCUUCUGGUCGAACAGGCCAGGAGUCUGACGGUAUCGCCUUAGCAAGCACCGGCUAACUCUGUGCCAGCAGCCGCCGUAACAC